rnacentral:lncRNA from 12 species
AUGCAGGUAAUGAUUCAUAAUCCUCAAGUAACUGAAAACUGUUAUUUCCCAUGGAAUACCUCCCAAAGGGAGAAGACGCCGAUGUCCAGCCCAGCCUUGACCACUGGAAAUUAUACGAACUGUUGUCCAGGUGACACACCAUUGAGUUUGGCAUCCAGGCAAAGAGCUGCACCUCAGAAAUAUGAAACACCAAAUUUUUCAAUACAUAUGUGGACUUCAAAAGACUGUGCAUUGCACUGUUGGGGAAUAUGCUGAAGACAAAUCUUCACAGAGACAAGGCUUGAAUAAUACAUGAAAACUUGACUUCACCAUUUGUUUAAAACUUGAAAUCAAGAUGCAUUUUACUUUCAUCUCAAGCAUUAGUAGAGGAGGCGAGAAACAUCAUUUUCUUAACUCUAGAGUCCAACUGCAUGGCCAAUCAAGGUUGAUUGAUUGAAGAUGUCAAAAGAGUGGCAGCCAAUAUCCUCUAGUCUGCUGACCUUGCGUUUCAGAAGACAGAUUAAAACAGUCUGUCUCUUUCUAAAUUCAAAUGGAUUGGGGGAAAAAAAAUAAAAAACCUUUGUGCCUUGAUCCA